CGGCACCCGCGGGUGGGGGCCGCCCGCUCUGGCCCGGCGCUCACCUGUAAGCGCUGAGGAGCGCCUUGUUGACCAGGACGUUCAAGUGAGAGGGAAAGAGGCUUCCCUUCUCAUCUGAAUUUCCUGACUUCCAAUGAGAGGAAGAAGUUAAAGCAAGCAGAGACUGCUCCUAUCUACUGUCGCAGGGGUGCCACAGCUAAGUUUGCCAGCUCAAUGAGUGCCAACGCGCCAUGCAUGCGUUCACGC